GGCGGCAAGCUUAACACAUGCAAGUCGAGCGGUAGCAGAUCUAGCUUGCUAGAUGCUGACGAGCGGCGGACGGGUGAGUAACGCGUAGGAACCUGCCCAGUAGUGGGGGAUAGCCCGGGGAAACUCGGAUUAAUACCGCAUACGCUCUACGGAGGAAAGAGGGGGCUUCGGGCUCUCGCUAUUGGAUGGGCCUGCGUGAGAUUAGCUAGUUGGUGAGGUAAUGGCUCACCAAGGCGACGAUCUCUAGCUGGUCUGAGAGGAUGAUCAGCCACACUGGGACUGAGACACGGCCCAGACUCCUACGGGAGGCAGCAGUGGGGAAUAUUGCACAAUGGGCGCAAGCCUGAUGCAGCCAUGCCGCGUGUGUGAAGAAGGCUUUCGGGUUGUAAAGCACUUUCAGUGGGGAGGAAGGCCUCGUAGUUAAUAGCUGCGAGGAUUGACGUUACCCACAGAAGAAGCACCGGCUAACUCCGUG
rnacentral:rRNA from 1 species